CCCCUCCGGACGGCAGAAAUUUCCUCUGUGGGGGGAGUAUGGAUCUUUUCUGGAACGACCCAAUCUCACAUGUGAAAAUUAUCGCUUUUCAAUAAUCGCUUUUCUGCCAAAAAUAUCGCUUUUCAAAGACUGUCCUUUAUAUAAUAAACAGAAAAAUAAACAUAAAUACUUGGAAAUACCAGAUUUAAUAUUGUACAGUAUUCAGUGGCAAGCUAGUCAUGGCAACUCGUCAUGCUAUGCCCUCUGUGCUAUGCCUAUGCUGAUAAUCUUGCAUCUAUUUGAAUGAUACAAAUCAUUAAUAAUUUGCAUAGCAUGACUUGUUGCUAUGGCUAGCUUCACCAAUGACAGCUGAUUAUAAUUAUACAUAACAAAAGCAAGAAGUUAUAAGCAUUGAAGGUAUUCAUAUAAAACCACAGGUGGCCAG